GUGUCCUUAGGGCCGUCCCGCUUUGGCACAGAAUCGCUGCCAUGUCCCCAAAAAUGGCAGUAGAAGCACAGAAGGUGCUGUUCUGGCACACGCUGACAAGAGGAACGGCGGCAGGACUUUUCCCUGCUAAGAUGCAUCUGAAAGUGAGUAGGUGAAACACGGAGCAACUCUCGAGUGCCAGUGGCUAACAACGGACGAAGCGGAUGGGCAGUCAAAGGAGGAACGUUGGAAGUGCGGGGACUCUGGGGAGAUUGGGAUGACAGACAUUCCAAUGUCCUCACGUCUGUGCAUCUGGCGAGGGAGGAGGGGAGGGGACCCUAUCUGGAUGCUGGUGGCAGGGAAUGGCAGAGAAGAGAAAUUAAUUUGAGAUUCGUUUUGAUCAAUUUGCCUAAAUUGGCGCUUUUUCGGGGGGAGGAGGGCGGCCCAGACGAGCAGACACAGGCUGGAGCUCCGCCAGGGUUUCUCGGGAAAGUUGCCACGCUGGGAGUGCGGGAGCACGGAGAGGGAGAGGAAUGGAAGAGAAAAAACCCAGGCGAGACUUGGCAGGGUUUUAUCGCAGCUCCCUUUGUCUGUUUGCUCAGCUUUUGCGCAAAGGAAAUCAAAAAUACCCAGAGUGCAGGAGCUCAGCUUUAGUGCUAAAAAACAAAAAUAAGGAAGAAAACUACCUUCUACUUUGCAAGAAGCUAGUGCAAAGGUGACGAAAUUGUUCCUCAUUUUUUUGGACUGGACUUUUGAAGUUGUUUGCGCCAAGAGAUGACCAUGUGUCUUCAGGGGUCUUUGUUAUCUUAACCGCAAAUGAAGAUGCAUCUGAUUUAUGUUCUAAUGGCUUCACUAUUGGAGAGAAUGUCUGGAACUACAAACGGCAUGUGCUAAAGAAAAGUUUGCGCCUCCAUGAUUGGACUAAACUUUUAAAACUUUGAGCCAGAACCAAGACAUUGCGUUCCUAAGAUGGAAAUGGAUGUUUUCGUCUAGGAGGAGGAAGUAAGCUGACUUUCCAAGUGUCCCCAUCAACAGUCUUCAUUCUUUGAGGGGAUAUUCCAGAAUUAGGGAAUUUAAUGCUUUACAAGAAGAAGAUGGAUUGUUGGUCGGCCAUUUUGGUGCUGAAAGGUUGCGGUCAACAGUGGAGUAUAAAGAAGGCCUGGAUGUUGAUUUCUUAACAUCUCCACCCAUUGGCAUUGCACUUGGAUUCUGGCUGCAUCAGCAGGCUUCCAGUUAAUAACUGUGAAAAGGGCAGGAAUGGAGAAGAGACAGAGAUAGAUUUUGUUGAUUCUGUGCCAGGAUGAAUUUGCCAGAUGUGUUUCAUCAUAAGACAGGUGCCCAUGGCUGAUAGAGCAGGUGCAUGAUGAUGUUUGGUGUUAUAGUUUGAUAUUAUGCUUUUCUGAAAAGGUUUCUCUGUUUUACAUCAAUACUCAAAAAAGCAAAGGCCUAAACUCUCUUCGGCUGAAUUUUAAUCAUCUGGACAUUGAAUUUUUAAUCACCAGACAGUAUUUAUGACCUUUUGUAGAUGGAUCCAAAUUAAAUAUCUCUUCACUGUUCUGUGUACCAU